AUUGAACGCUGGCGGCAGGCCUAACACAUGCAAGUCGAGCGAGCGGCGGACGGGUGAGUAAGGUAUGGGGAUCUGCCCGAGAGAGGGGGAUAACUACUGGGAACGGUGGCUAAUACCGCAUAAUAGCGGAUAAACCCAUUUGGGUUUAGCUUGUAGGUGGGGGAAAGGCACACCAAGGGCACGAGCUCUAGCUGGUCUGAGAGGAUGAUCAGCCACACUGGAACUGAGACACGGCCCAGACUCCUACGGGAGGACGCAGUGGGGAAUAUUGGACAAUGGGCGCAAGCCUGAUGCAGCCAUGCCGCGUGUAUGAAGAAGGCCUUCGGUUUGUAAAGUACUUUAAGCGGGGAGGCGUUACCAGCAGAAGAAGCACCGGCUAACUCCGUGCCAGCAGCCGCGGUAAUUC
rnacentral:rRNA from 1 species